AAUUCAUCAUACUGCACCUUCUGUGCAGUACUAACAAACGCUAGUUUGAGUGUCACCACCAUUGUCUCCUCUGCCAGUGUCACCUUCAGCUACCAUUUCUGUCCAUUAGCUGCCAUCCCCAUCCCCAUUGGAAGUACAGUGGAACCUCUACUUAGAAACGUCCCUACCUACGAAUGAUCCAACUUACAAACAGCUCUGGCUGCAAAAUUUUACUUCUACUUGCGGCCGGAGCUUCAAGAUACGAACGAAAAAGGCAAGGGAAAAAGGUGGGAAAUUCAAACCGUUGGUGGCAAAGAGGCUGCUUCUUUGUAGCUCUUUCGCGCCAACAGUUAGGAAAAGGGAGGAUCAGCCUCCCGGGCUUCCAGCGCUGCUGCUACCGCUGCCAGGAGGUGAGCCACUGGACCAUCCCAGCUGGGAUCAGCCUCCCAGGCGUCCAACGCCGCCACCGCAGGUUUUCCUAGGUUUCAUCGCAAGUGCCACCUUUCUCCCCCACUGUGCGGCUUCUCCGCUGCCAUGGGAGGCUUUCCUGGGGCUUGCCCCAAUUGCCACCUUUCUCCACCGCCAUCCAUUGCCGGGCCAGGGUUUCUGCACCACUGACGCAGGCUUUCCCGGGCUGGUAGGGCCGGCCUACCAGCCAGGGAAACCCUGGCCCAGAAGCGGGUGGCAGCAGAGAAAGGCGGCGCUUGCAGCAAGUACCGAGAAAGCAUCCCAUGGCAGUGGAGAAACCGCCCAGCGGGGGGAAAAGGCGGCACUUGCGGGUGAACACCAGGAAAGCUGGCAGCGGCAGCUGGAGCCCGGGAGGCCUCCUGGCAGCGGCGGUCGCAGCAGUGGAGGUAAGGUGCUGCAUUUUAAAAACUGUUUGGGGUGGCUUUUGCAGGGUGGGAUUGAGCUGGUGGAGUUAUGUUUGUUUUUUAUUAUUUGUUUGUUUGUUUGUUUGUUUGUUUGUUUUUGCAGCCGUAGGGGCUUGCAGUGUGUUAUUUUUUAUUUGUUUGUUUUGGUAUUUUUUCUUCAGCUGAAACGGAUUACUUGGUUUUCAGUGCAUUCCUAUGGGAAAUGGUGCUUCUACUUACGAAUGUUUCAACUUAUGACCACAGUUCCGGAACGGGUUAAGUUCG
rnacentral:lncRNA from 1 species